rnacentral:rRNA from 1 species
GAAUCCGCUAAGGAGUGUGUAAAAACUCACCUGCCGAAUGAACUAGCCCUGAAAAUGGAUGACGCUUAAGCGGGUUGCCGACACCAGACCGUUUCGAUAAGAAGCGAUCGAAAUGAGUAGGAGGGCGUGGCGGUUUGUUGUGAAGGAUAAGACGCAAGUCUGUCUGAAACGGCCGCUAGUGCAGAUCUUGGUGGUAGUAGCAAAUAUUCAAGCGAGAUCCUUGAAGGGCGAAGCGGGGAAGGGUUCCACGCGAACAUUGAUUGGGCGUGGGUGAGUCGUUCCUAAGCCGGGUGGUAAUCGUUCUUCGAUCGGCGAAAGGGAAGCGGGUUAAAAUUCUCGCACACGGAUGUGGAAGCGGUGACGCAAUUUGAGGUGGAGACGUUAGCGGUGGCACUGGGCAGAGUUUUCUUUUCUGUUUAACCUAUGACUGCACUCUGUGGAAUUCGAUUAUCGGGCGAAACAGGUGCUUAUGGGAAGAGCGUCGGGGUGUCCCCAGCGUCCAGUAUGCCACCGAUAGCCCUUGAAAAUCCAUCUGCAAUGAAAUUUCACGCCGUGGCGUACCGAUAACCGCAUCAGGUCCCCAAGGUGAACAGCCUCUGCUCAAUAUGAACAAUGCAGGUAAGGGAAGUCGGCA